AGCAUCCGCGGUAAUUCCAGCUCCAAUAGCGUAUAUUAAAGUUGUUGCAGUUAAAAGCUCGUAGUUGAAUUUCGGGAUUGGCGCAUCGGUCGUGCCUCACGGGGUAUGGACUGGUGCAGUCAAUUUCUCACCUUCUGGAGAACCGCGAUGUCCUUAAUUGGAUGCCGCGGGGAACCAGGACCUUUACUUUGAAAAAUUAGAGUGUUUAAAGCAGGCAUUUUUGCUUGAAUACAUUAGCAUGGAAUAAUAAAAUAGGACGGCAUGGUUCUAUUUUGUUGGUUUCUAGGACCACCGUAAUGAUUAAUAGGGAUAGUUGGGGGCAUUAGUAUUCAAUUGUCAGAGGUGAAAUUCUUGGAUUUAUUGAAGACUAACUACUGCGAAAGCAUUUGCCAAGGAUGUUUUCAUUAAUCAAGAACGAAAGUUAGGGAUCGAAAGACGAUCAGAUACCGUCGUAGUCUUAACCAUAAACUAUGACCGACUAGGAUCAGACGAUGUUAAUUUUUAAUGUACUUCGUUUGGC
rnacentral:misc_RNA from 1 species